ensembl:snRNA U6 U6 spliceosomal RNA
AUGCUCACUCUGACAGCACAUAGACUAAAAUGGGAACCAUACAGAAAAGAUUAGCAUGGCCCCUGAGCAAGGACGACACGCAAAUUGUAAAGAGAAUAUUCAAAAAUAA